AUGGCGCCGCCGACCAUUGUAGAGAAAGAAAUGGACGACAUGUUCAAAGAAGGCAUAUACCCAACGAUUCAGGAGGUCACCGAAGCGCUCAAACCAGAGGGCGGUAUGGUACUCGGAUCAUUGGAUGAGUGCUUUUUCUUUUUCUGUAGAUAUGCGAGAAGGGUUGGCUUUGCUGCCAAGCGAUCAACGAGCAGAAGAUCGACAUAUGAUCAGCAGCUUGACAAGCAGGUGUUUCAGUGCACAAAGGAAGGGAAGAAUAAAACAAUUGAGAGACAUGUUAAGGAGAGAAGAAGCAACUGCUUGAUCUGGACAAGCUGCCCAGUCCAAAUAACAACCAAGAGGGAUACAGAUAGGAGGAAAUGGUAUCUGAAGAACGUGCGCCUAGAGCACAACCACCAACUUCACCCAUCCAAUUGGAUGCUGAAGUUCAUGAGAUGCUAUAAGAAGAUGACACGUCAAGAGAAAUUCUUUAUACAAGUGCCGCAGAAGGCGAGGUUAGAACCAAGGAAGGUUAUGCAGAUUUUUACUGCCAUGGGGAAACCGAGGCGAGAAAUUAUGUUCGACACGAUUGACAUAAGCAACAUUGCAUGCCGGGACAGGGAGGCGGAGGCCGGGAUUCCACCAUGUGGAAGAGACAAAGAACAAUGUAGUGCGGAGCCUGUUCUGGACAGACUCCUUGUGCAAGAUGAAUUAUGA
rnacentral:rRNA from 1 species